rnacentral:sRNA from 2 species
AGCGCACGCCUGAUAAGCGUGAGGUCGAUGGUUCGAGUCCAUUUAGGCCCAUAUUUGGGGAAUUAGCUCAGAUGGGAGAGCACCUGCUUUGCAAGCAGGGGGUCAGCGGUUCGAUCCCGCUAUUCUCCAUUGCCGACCGACAGGUUGGCAGGACUUGUACUUUGAAAACUAAAUAAUAUCGAAAUAAUUUUUUAAAACAACCGAGAACACCGCGUUAUUUGAGUUUUUUAAUAAUGUAGUUAGAUUGCAUCGCGUAAUACUCAAUUAAUCUGUGAUACCACGUAGUGGUAUGACAAGGUUAAGUUAUAAAGGGCGCAUGGUGAAUGCCUUGGUACUAGGAGCCGAUGAAGGACGUUACUAACAACGAUAUGCUUCGGGGAGCGGUAAGUACGCUUUGAUCCGGAGAUUUCCGAAUGGGGAAACCCAGCUAAUUUAAUCGUUAGUUACUGGUCAGUGAAUACAUAGCUGAGCAGAGGUAGACGCAGUGAACUGAAACAUCUAAGUAGCUGCAGGAAGAGAAAGAAAAAUCGAUUCCCUGAGUAGCGGCGAGCGAAACGGGAAGAGCCCAAACCAACGAGCUUGCUUGUUGGGGUUGUAGGACUGAACAUUUGAGUUACCAAAGUAAGACGUAGUCGAAUCAGCUGGGAAGCUGAACCAGAGCGGGUGAUAGUCCCGUAGACGAAACGUGUUACUCUCAGUUCAGGAUCCUGAGUACGGCGGAACACGUGAAAUUCCGUCGGAAUCCGGGAGGACCAUCUCCCAAGGCUAAAUACUCCCUAGUGACCGAUAGUGAA